GACGAACGCUGGCGGCGUGCUUAACACAUGCAAGUCGAACGGAAAGGCCCUGCUUUUGUGGGGUGCUCGUGUGGCGCACGGGUGUGUAACACGUGUGUAACCUCCCCUUGUCUUUGUGAUAACUUCUGGAAACUGGGGCUAAUACCGGAUAGGAGCUCCUGCUGCGUGGUGUGGGUUGGAAAGUUUCGGCGGUUGGGGAUGGUCUCGCGGCUUAUCAGCUUGUUGGUGGGGUAGUGGCUUACCAAGGCUUCGACGGGUAGCCGGCCUGAGAGGGUGAACGGCCACAGUGGGACUGAGAUACGGCCCAGACUCCUACGGGAGGCAGCAGUGGGGAAUAUUGCACAAUGGGCGGAAGCCUGAUGCAGCAACGCCGCGUGCGGGAUGACGGCCUUCGGGUUGUAAACCGCUUUCGCCUGUGACGAAGCGUGAGUGACGGUAAUGGGUAAAGAAGCACCGGCUAACUACGUG
rnacentral:rRNA from 1 species